rnacentral:lncRNA from 1 species
CGCCCACAGUACGGCCUAGAAGGCCAGAGGAGGGCUUGGCCAGUGACUUUUGGCAGGCUCAGGACGCCGUCGACCUCCACCCAGCGGUAACAAGGGAACCUGACCUCGUCCCCGGCUCCGGGGCCCUACACGGAGAUCCAGCUGCAGAACCUGAAGGAAGUGACGUUUGCGCAGUUUCACAAACAUCAGCGGCCCCAGGUGAUAAAGCCUGAAAGGUAGAGAUCCAACAGCGCUAGCGGUUGAAACGUUUUUUAAAAUAGAGAAAGCGAGAGGACCGACGGCGGCUCCGGUGACUGCUGAGUUUCCAGACAAGGGAGCUCUGUGCAAUGAGGGGCGCACAGGAGCAUGCCCUCAAUUCCAAGAAGAUCAGCUGGCUGGCUGGCUGGCAACUGGAGGCCUUUCUGUCCUG